GUCUUUUGCUGGUGAUUCCUAUGUGCCUGAGGUCUUCCCAAGCAUUACAACUGGUCGGGAUCCCACAUCAAAUGAAAAUGAAGAAAGUUAUUGUGAUCACUGUCAUAAAGUGCUGUAAAACUGGUGCAAGUGGGAUGAGAAUCAGCCUGGCCAUGUUAGCAACUUUUUGACAUCUGUGUAAAUCUGCUGAUUUCCACGGAGUUACCUAUGGCAACUAAAGAUAGGAGGAGAAAACAUUGGCUGGAGAACCAGGAAAUGAAAAGCCUUAGGAUAAAGAGCAAAACAGAUCAAUCCAGGAGAAGUCAAACUCCCUGUUUCCUAGACUGGCUCAGUGUGGCAGCAGUUUCAGUUGUGUCUCCGUUAUACACAAGCAGACUCAACAACAACAUGCCCUGCCACUGGGGGAACAAAUUCCUGAUGUUGCCAAAUGAGUCCUAAGGAAGCAGGGAACAAGGAAAGGUAGGGAGUGCUGAAUCAAACAAGAUUAAUAUGUGUUUGUUCUAAGUGAAAUAGUUGCUAUUCUCGGUGAAAUACUAGUCCACCACUUGUGAGAGAAAGGUAAACAGUUUGUCCUGGUUUAAAUUGUUGCAGUCACUGGGGCACUGAGUGACAGCAAAAUGUGGUUUGUUGUUGUCCUGUUCAUUUACUUGUGAGAACACACUGACCUGAGUCCCUGUUCUGCCAGGCUCUGCCUGAUAGAAGCAAGAGAGACAAGCUCCAGCCUGAAUCAAUCAAUAAAUGGAGGUGGUAUCUCCUGAG
ensembl:lncRNA